rnacentral:rRNA from 1 species
AAGAUUAGGCCAUGCAUGUCUAGUAUAGCACUUUUCCUCCGACGCUGCUGCUGGUGCCUUAUUUAAUUUAUCGUUUAUUUGAUGAUCCCUUCCUCCUAGGCUAACCUCGGUGGUUCUUCAACUACUACUUGCUGCCAAUCCCAACUCCGGAAGGGAUGUAUUUAUUACAUUAAUUUCCUUUGCCCUCUGGGCUCUCUGGUGAUUCAUGAUAACUCUUCGAAUCCCAUGGCCUUGCACUGGCUAUGGUUCAUUCAAAUUUCUUCCCUAUCAACUUUCAAUGUUUGGGUAUUGGCCAAACAUGGUUGCAACGGGUAACGGAGGGUUACGGCUCGACCCCGGACAACGACCCUGAGAAACGGCUACUACAUCCAAGGAAAGCAGCAGGCGCGCAAAUUACCCAAUCCCAACACGGGGAGGUACUGACAAUAAAUACUGAUACAGGGCUCUUUCGGGUCUUGUAAUUGGAAUGAAUACAAUUUAAAUCCCUUAACGAGGAACAAUUGGAGGGCAAGUCUGGGGCCAGCCUCCGCGGUAAUUCCAGCUCCAAUACCGUAUAUUAAAGUUG